rnacentral:tRNA from 1 species
GUUUUAAUAAUUUAAUAAAAAAUAUUGGUCUUGUAAACCAAAAUUAAGGUAACCUUUUAAAACU